UCAAUAAUAAGAUGAGAAUAUUAUUUCCAUCGUGCACCAUGCAAAAAAGAAAAGAAGAAGAGAUGAAGUCUAAUCUGUUUUUGACUUCUUUAUCUCAUUCACGUCCAGGUCUGACAUGACAUUAGAGCUCUUUCACUUGGUCAUGAGUUUGAAACUUAAAAGAUCAAUCUAAUUACCUGUAUACAAAAAAGCUAAAAUGGUUGUAGGCAAAGGUAAUCUUAAAAAUAAUGUUAUGUUUUCUUCCUACUUUAAUUUAUGAACUGUUCUACCAACUACUUUUGAAACUCAUAUCAUAUUUCACUGAUAUUACUCCAUAUUUGUACCAUCUCUUGAUGCAUUAUGAACAAAAAGAGGGCUCCAAAUAUCUUUCCCAUUCAUCAGAUUUUUUAUUACCAUCAUUAAACUUUCAUAGUCAUAUAAAUAAUAAGCUCUUAUUAUGCAAUCUUAGAUUUCUUAUUCUCAAACCUCCAACCUUCUUGUGAAUCAUUACUUUUUGUCAUUUAAUAAUUGUAGUUUUCUCUUAUUUAAUUUGUGUCUUGCCUUUCCAGUUUCCACAUGAGGUCACUUUUUAUGGUAUUCAAAUUUUCCUCAACAUAACCAUGCAACUUUAACAAAAACAAUAAGUAGGUUGAAAUUUUAUCCAACACACUAUUAUUAACUAAAGUGAGUCUUCCAUCGAAAGACAAAUAUUUUUUUUAUGAGAAAUUCUACAUGGUGCACCUCCCAUUCUAUCAACCUGCAACCUCUUUACCCAAUCCGAAUAAAAAAUCUCUGUCUUAGCACUCUAAAAGAUUUUAAGAUAUCUUGAGGGUUCAUUUUCACUAUAGAUAUGCAGAAUUCAAUCUAUUUCAGUCUUCUGCUUUUUUCAAAAUUCAAUCUAUUUACUUUGUAGUAUGCGUAGGAGUGCAUCUCGCUUACCUAAAAAAAAUCGAAAGUUUUUUAAACAUACAAUUACAUAUUAAGGUUUUAAACUAAAACUAAAAUUCCUUACCCCUAUUUACGUCUUUCAGCAUCUUCAUACAAAUUAUUACUUAAAUAUUACUAACAUUUACUCGACAAAUAGCAUAUAAACUUAUUUAAUAAAAUUUAUAUAUAGUAGAGAAACUAACAACAAUUAAUUUUAUCAUUGGCAUAGUAGAACUUAAUACACAUCACUUGAGUCGACAGAUGAAUAAAUAGCAACUUCUUAAUAUAAUAUCUCUAUUUACGAAGGUAAAUGCUACUUACACUAACCUCACUUAGUUGAAAUAAGUGAAAACAUAUAGGUAGACUUUUUCAUGUCAAUCGAUCCUCCUAACCUGAACACAUAAACACAACAAAGUUUUAGAUUAUACAUACAUUUUUACUCAUGCAAGUUAUAAAAAGGUGAUACAUUUUGUUGUAGGAGUAUCACCACUUGAACAUCAAAUAUCUAGCUAACAAAUAUUUAUUUAACAAAAAAAUGAUAUAUAAUGCAUAUUAUAAUUAUUGAAUAGUUCUUUCUAGUGAAUGUCAAUAAUGCAUCCUUGGAAUUGUUAAAUGAAAGAUGAUUUCCUAAUAGAAUCCUUAAGGGGGCAUUUCAUCAAACACCUUGGUAGUGUAAAAGUUCAUUCAGAUCUCAUAAAAGCAUUUGAACACACACCCAAAAUGCAAGUAUAAGUCUUCUAAUAAAACAUGAAGAGCAAAAUCCAAUAUGAAAAAAUCUUAUCCAGAAACAUCAAAAUGUAUAAAGCCUAAGAGAACUUCAGAAGUAAAAUAAUGGCUCCCAAGAUGAAAUCGAGCAAAAUCAAAGGUCGAUAAUCUUUCGGCCUCGUUUUUUUUGUGUAUUGAUCCCACAAUUAGUAGAUAUGAAAAAAAAAAAAAUCAAGAUGGAGACUUCACUAUAUCAGGUGUUCAAAUGAAUUAUUGGCGAAAAACACAUGCUCUUAAGAGUAUCCAACACAC
rnacentral:lncRNA from 1 species